rnacentral:lncRNA from 1 species
UCCAAGGCAGUCCAUCUGUGUCAAAUGCUUGUACUAGUACUCAUGCCGAGUCAAAUCGAUCGGUAAGUCUGGACCGAGAAUAGUUUAGUCUAGAACAAUGAAAGGUUAAGCGGGAUGAGUACGUCAUCUUCAUGAAACACUGAACCAGAACAUUGACCCAUAAGAGAUCCAUGUCAGCCAACAGUCACUGUGACAUAAUACUACGUUACACAAUAUAAAUCUAAGCGGGACACCAACUACAUCAUGUCAACGCCAUCAUAACCUCAUCACAUUUAAACAAAAUCCCCUCCAUAUCAAGAACUCCAAAUGAUAUGUAGCCUGGUCAGCCACUCAACCUUAAUAACUUGUUGGUGUUACAUGUAGACAUAUAUGUAUUAGCUUUGAAUUUCAAUAUUCAAUUCAAGUUGGAAGUUGGAACUCUUUCUUCCCUUCAUUGCCUAUAAAUACAACUUAACAAACAUAUCUCAAACAACAUUCAAAUCAAUGUCUGCGACAAUGAGUCUACCUCGACAAGUGGUAAAGAAGUUCCUGGCAAAACCACAAUAUGAAGGUGAAGGUGCUGUUGUUAGAAGAACCAUUGGAAGGUAAUUCAUGAUUAAGAACAUAAUCAACUUCUGGCAGGGUGGUUGAUUGAAAAUAAAUUAUUUUUUAGUUUUUCGCAAAGAAUAUGAGCUUUUUGGCCUAAUGGGAACAUGCAUUUUUUUUUUUCAGACCUGAGUUGAAAUACUUUGAUCCAUUUCUUCUAUUGGAUGAAUUCUCAAGUGGGUAUCUGUUUUUUUCGUCAACUUUAGGAUUUCGAAAACGUAUUUCUAAUUAGUUCAAUAUUUGAUAUUGAAUUUUGAAAUUUCUGCACCAGCAGGAUUUUCUGAUCAUCCACAUAGAGGUCUAAUAUAAUCUAGAAGAUUCAACUGUUUUGUUCUGAACUUGAAUGAUGAAAUUCAACUGUUAGGUCAUGAUUAUAAUCUUGAAAAUGUGACGAUAACUGCUUUUUGUUUGUGAGAUUUGCUACAAUAUUCAACAGUGUAUGAAUAUCUCCCCAGUCAGGUCAGUUCGUCGAGUAUUCUACUAUGUUUCUGGUUUCUUUUACUUUUUCUAUGUAUGCUCCUGCUUAGUGUUUUGAUGUCGGUUGUUAUGCUUAACCUGACGGUGCAUUCAAGCACGCUGAUCAGGAAUGUAUUCUUUGGCUCUUGAGAUUAAUAAUAUUCCUAUUUUUAUCAAAAAAAAAAGGACAUUGCGCUUUAAUAAUACACGACAAUGUCACAGACAAACAGAUUGAGAGCGAGGUAUCAGAAACAAAAGCUAUAGAGAGACGAAGAAGACAACAUCAGCUUAUAGUAAAUUCAAUCAUAAAAUGCAGAAACAUAAAUAAGUAUUCUUUUCAAAAUUUAGACAUGCAUGAGAUUCUCAGCAUACGCAGCUCGUCCACGGCUCAACCAUUGUUCCCUGCAAGGCAAUCGAUUCUCAGCAUUCCCUUCUGCAGCAAAGUUUAUAACAUUUCAACAUUGCACUUGCCAGGUAUGGGUCUAUGUAGAAAUCUUCUAUGAGAGGAUAGAUCAUUAUAAAAUAGUCUCCUGCAUCGUAAAAAAUGAAAUUGUAUGUUAGUAUUCGAGACCAAUCCAACCCUACUGUAGCAAAAACUAUUCUACCCCAUAACAAAAACUUGAGAUCUAGAUCAAAAUGACGAGGGGGAAAAAACAGCCAACCAUAGGGAUCGUAACAUUUGAUGCAGAGCACUCACAAAACACUGCAGGGAGCAACUCCUCAACUCGGUUCAUGAUGAAGAGGGCGUAGAUCUCAUAGAGUAAAUAAUAUGGCGAAGAGGGGUGUAGAUCUCAUAGUGUAGAUAUUAUUCUUGCAAAUAGCAUAUACAAGUUCUCCAAGGCAUCACUAGUUUCCUGCAAAUACAGUAAUAAACGUUCACACGAGAAAUGAUGCUUAGGCAUUUAAAAGAACAGAGAUGUGUUCAACCUGAGCAAUGACUUUCUUCUUCCAACUUCAUCAGAUAUGUUAAUGUCUCGCACAACAAUCUGAAUUUUGUGCAGACUCUGUCAGACUGACAGACUCCGUGAUGAGUUCUUUGAAUAUUCCCCAUGUUCAAUACGUUAAAACGAGAAAUGAUACAGCAACCUGGCCAACGGUCUAGUUGAUUUAUGCUUCUAAUAAGGAUCUCUGUGAACGAUUUACAAUUCUUGAUGGUAUAAGACACCAGUGCAUAUGUACUAUUAAUAUACAAUUAGUGAAGGGGACAUACUUGAUACUUCUCUAUAUAUAGAAGCACAUAUUCCACUUUAAUAAUACACCACAUUGUCACAGGCAAACAGAGGUAUCAGAAGCAGAAGGUAUAGAGAGACAAGCAGACGACAUAAGUUUGUAGUAAAUUUAAUCAUGGACUGCAGAAACAUAAAUAAGUAUUCUUCCCAACAUUUUGAUAAAACCAAACUCCCUCGUCAACCCAGUCAGAUUACAGUAAGCCCAUCGAUCAUAUCUAAACAGUUCAAGUCGAUAUUUAUGAGAUGGGUGUGACAUGAGAAGCUUCUUAUUGUGCAUAUACAGCUCGUUCAUAGCAAAACCAUUAUUCCUGUAAGGUUCCCUUUUGCAGCAAAUUCUAUGACAUCUCAACGUUGCGCCUGCCAGCUAUAUAUGGGCUUAUGCAGAAUCCUGUUAAGAGAGGAUAGAUCAUUAUUAAAAAAUUUCCUACAUAGUAAAAAAAUGAAAUGGUAUGUUAGUAUUCGACAUAUUGAAUGAAGCGUUUUGUUCACCAAUUAAUUUAAGUCUGGAUUAUAGCCAUUCGGCGAAAUCCUUUUCCAGUAAUCUAAAUGUACAGAGAAGUGGAUGUCAUGUGGUUCUUUGUAAACUAAUUAAUAAAAUUGCCAAACACAGAACAUUGCAUAAGAACUAUGACACAGGCAAAUUAAGUAAACAAGGUGCAGUACCUCUGAUAUGAGAAGAUGGUUCAGUCAAGUUGAAGACUUCAAUAUCCUAGGCUUUAGUUUUGAACUUUUCGAAAGUAGAAUAUGCAACACAAUCAUCAGUGUUGUAGAUACAAUUAGGCUUGUACGUAAGUUCCUCGUCCACAAAGCAAAACUGGUCUCCAAAUUUGUUUGAAUUGACGUAAUUAUAAGGAGAAUUUUCGAGCAUAUACUUGAUAAUUUGAUAGCCAUCAAGUCAUAAUCGGAAGUUAUAGUUGUUACUAGCAAAUAUAUGACCUUCGAUUAUCAAAUGAAAUGAAACAGGUAACCAUUUCAAUGUGUCCAGACCUUUUGCAACCUCUGCAGAAAAAUCAAAGGCAAAUAAAACAAGCUUCGAUUAGUUAGUUUAGUAUAACGGACUGCAACCAAGUAACUUUAGAAAAGCUUCAAACAACAAAGUGGGUAAGCCCACUACAUAAUAUACUUGUUUUAAGACAAAAUAUUUAUGGUGCACUGCAUGGUCCACAGUUCCACACCAAUAGGUAUAAGUUUGCUUGCAUGAAUCUUGAACAGUAUCAAUUCGAGAUUCCGAGGUGCUGUGGAAGACAUUGUAAAGUUUCCAUAAGGCCAAAUGCUACAGCAUGACAGCAAUAGCAACCAAUGUUAUAAAUUAGUCAUGUAUCUGUAUAUCAUCAAUCACAGGAACCAGGUCAUGAAGAAUUUGUGUUUCUCUGCAGCUUGGAUGGCACAAAAGCAUAUCUGCAAAUAGACUGUAUAUGUACAAUAAGGCAUAUAAAAAACAUUGAGAGGUUCUAGUUUUCAACACCAGUACACCACCAAGAUUCUGCAUGUCCACGUUGAUAAAGCGUUAAAAUUCUUGGUGGUGUAAGCCGCCAUGUGCAUAUAUGUAUGUAAAAGCCACUCUAUUAAUAUACAAUUGGUGAACAGGACAUACACUCUUCUGUAUAUAUAGGAAGCACAGAAUCCACUUUAAUAAUACACGGCAAUGUCACAGACAGAUUGAGAGGUAUCAGACACAGAAGGUAUAGAGAGAAACGAAGCAGACAUCAGCUUGUAGUGAAAUUUAAUCAUGAAAUACAGAGACAUAAAUAAGUAUUCUUCCUUCAUAAAACCAAACUCCCUCCUCAACCCAGUUUCGCACACCAAACAGAUUACAGCAAGCCCGUCAUAGCUAACCAGCUCCAGUCUCUCCAAUAUUUGGGGAAACAUUUGCUACAUGAAAACCUCAAGAUUCUGCAUAAGCGGGUCGUCCACAGCAAAACCAUUUUUUCUGCAAAGCAAUAAAUUUUCAACAUUACAUAUUGCAUUUAACCUACUAUGAAGACCAUGUUAAUCACUAUCUAUAACAAAAGUAGCAAAUUAUACAACAUGUCAAUGUUGCAUCUGGUAGCUAUGAGGUUAUGAGUCUAUGCUUAUAAUCUUGAGAUGAUACAGAAAAAUUUGCUUCUAUUCAAUUCUGCCCCAACCUACUUGGAAUGAACCAUUACAUACAACUUGGCAGACCAUCUCAUUGCUAUGACAGAGUUUUAUUAGUUUUUCAUUGUGUAAAACUAAUGGAGAAACAUUUACAGUAUUUUGUAAUCACGUUUAAUAUGCUUAAUAUGAAAUAAAUCUUAUAUUCUUGGAUAAUUAUUAUGCUAAAUCUGUCUAAAUCAUCAAGAACAAGAAGAGCAAGAAUUCCAACUAUAAAAUAUAACAGAUCUGAAAAUUUAGAAAACUCAGAACAUUUUCUGCAACAUGUAUGUACCUUAUAGAAAGUCCACUUGAGCAGCAAUGAUAAGUUCCUCGACUGUAGAAGCUAGGGUGAAUAACCAGUACUUACUAGACCACCAAGAUAAGUUUGAAACUAAGAAGAAGAAGGAGGCAGAGAUGUUCAGAGAGACUAGAAGGAAUCAAAGGAAAGCUAAAGCAAAUGACAAGGAGCAUAAUGUGGACCCUUUGCUUUGCAGUGCAUUAUGAGUAUUGAGCAGCUGAGGGACCAUGAGCAUGAGGUGCUUUGCAUUAUUGUCUAAUUGUAUGAACAUG